CCUACGGGGGGCAGCAGUGAGGAAUAUUGGUCAAUGGGCGCAAGCCUGAACCAGCCAAGUCGCGUGAGGGAAGACGGUCCUAUGGAUUGUAAACCUCUUUUGUCGGGGAGCAAAGCGCGGUACGAGUACCGUGAAGGAGAGUACCCGAAGAAAAAGCAUCGGCUAACUCCGUGCCAGCAGCCGCGGUAAUACGGAGGAUGCGAGCGUUAUCCGGAUUUAUUGGGUUUAAAGGGUGCGUAGGCGGAUUUGUAAGUCAGCGGUAAAAAUGCGGUGCUCAACGCCGUAUCGCCGUUGAAACUGCGGGUCUUGAGUGAGCGAGAAGUAUGCGGAAUGCGUGGUGUAGCGGUGAAAUGCAUAGAUAUCACGCAGAACUCCGAUUGCGAAGGCAGCAUACCGGCGCUCAACUGACGCUGAGGCACGAAAGCGUGGGGAUCGAAC
rnacentral:rRNA from 1 species